rnacentral:sRNA from 1 species
AGUCUCAAAGCAGAGACAGGGCAGACUGCUUGCAGGCUGGGCUGGCUGUGCUUUGGAGACGCUAACCCGCAUGAGCAAGAAGGCCGACAGGCCGGAUUGGGAAUGGGGGUCAGGAUUGCGGGAGUGCAAAGCACCAAGCAAUCUGUGGCU